CCCUUAGAUGUUCUGGGCUGCACGCGCGCUACACUGAUGCGUUCAACGAGUUUAUGACCUUGCCCGAUAGGGUUGGGUAAUCUUUUUAAAUCGCAUCGUGAUGGGGAUAGAUUAUUGCAAUUAUUAAUCUUCAACGAGGAAUUCCUAGUAAGCGCGAGUCAUCAGCUCGUGCUGAUUACGUCCCUGCCCUUUGUACACACCGCCCGUCGCUCCUACCGAUUGAAUGAUCCGGUGAAGCCUCGGGAUUGUGGCCAGUUCACUUUAUUGGGAAUUGGCUGUGAGAACUUGUCUAAACCUUAUCAUUUAGAGGAAGGUGAAGUCGUAACA
rnacentral:rRNA from 1 species